UACGUAGGGUGCGAGCGUUGUCCGGAAUUAUUGGGCGUAAAGAGCUCGUAGGCGGCCUGUCGCGUCGGAUGUGAAAGCCCGGGGCUUAACCCCGGGUCUGCAUUCGAUACGGGCAGGCUAGAGUGUGGUAGGGGAGAUCGGAAUUCCUGGUGUAGCGGUGAAAUGCGCAGAUAUCAGGAGGAACACCAGCGGCGAAGGCGGCGCUCUGGGCCGGAACUGACGCUGAGGAGCGAAAGCGUGGGUAGCAAACAGG
rnacentral:rRNA from 1 species